GACGAACGCUGGCGGCGUGCCUAAUACAUGCAAGUGGAACGCAUUGGUAACACCGGACUUGCUCCAGUGUUACUAAUGAGUCGCGAACGGGUGAGUAACGCGUAGGUAACCUGCCUGAUAGCGGGGGAUAACUAUUGGAAACGAUAGCUAAUACCGCAUAAGAGGAGUUAACUCAUGUUAACUGUUUAAAAGAAGCAAUGGCUUCACUAUCAGAUGGACCUGCGUUGUAUUAGCUAGUAGGUAGGGUAACGGCCUACCUAGGCAACGAUACAUAGCCGACCUGAGAGGGUGAUCGGCCACACUGGGACUGAGACACGGCCCAGACUCCUACGGGAGGCAGCAGUAGGGAAUCUUCGGCAAUGGACGCAAGUCUGACCGAGCAACGCCGCGUGAGUGAAGACGGUUUUCGGAUCGUAAAGCUCUGUUGUAGGGGAAGAACGUGUGUAAGAGGGAAAGCUUACACAGGACGGUACCC
rnacentral:rRNA from 1 species